UUGUCUAGUGUUCAUAUCUAUGGACAACACUGGUCUCAGCCGGAAUCACACGCUCUUCUCCACUUCUACGUGCUUUAUUAAAAAUGUCAUGAAUUUGCAGCGAACGUGCUGAAUCCUUGUCACACGAAAAUGUGUGCAAGAAGGACACCAGAGUACAAGGAGGAACUUUGUGGACCAAAAGAGGAGAAUGAGCCACAACAUCAACUACUGGACGCUAUAUUCAAUCUGCAGCCUCGAAUUGUGCUGCACAGAGCAGACGUCAGUCGAGAUCUUCGUCCUGAGUGGCCGAAGCCAGACUCUCUCACAUUAAAGAGGAAGAGGAGGACAAAGAGGUUUGUCACAUUAAAGAGGAAGAAGACUUGAAGUCCUGCCACAUCAAAGAGGAGGAGGAAGAGUUCCUCCACGUUAAGCAUGAAGAAAUCAUUCAGGUUCCUGUGACUGGUGUGUCUUUGAAGAGUGAAGAUGAAGGUCAAAGUGAGGAGAACAGAGGGGCGCAGCCUCCAAGCAGCUGCUCAAGUCGACACAUGACAACGGAAGGUGAUGGAGAUCGCUGUGAAGAAUUACAAGCAGACGGCCUCUUAGCUCCACUAUCAGAUAGUGACGACAUGACGUCACACUCUCCUCGCACGGAUGAUGAUGAUGAUGAGGAUGAUAAACAGUCUGAAGGUGGUGAGACAUCUCCCACUGACAACAAACGAUGGAAAUGUUCUCAGUGUGGGAAAACCUUUGCCUAUAAGGGAAAGUUGAAACAACACAUGAGAACACACACUGGAGAGAAACAUUUCGCCUGCUCAGUUUGCGGUCACAGAUUCACCAAGAAGGGCGACUUGACAAGUCACACAAGAACCCACAAUGGUGAGAAACCUUUUGCCUGCUCAGUUUGCGGUCAAACAUUCUCAGCAGAGGCAAACUUAAAAGUACACACAAGAACCCACACUGGUGAUAAACCUUUUGCCUGCUCAGAUUGUGGUCAAAGGUUCUCUAUUAAGGGAACCUUAAAAAAACACACAAGAACCCACACUGGUGAGAAACCUUUUUCCUGCUCAGUUUGUGGCCAAAGAUUCUCUCAGAAGGGAACCUUAAAAGUCACACAAGAACACACACGGGUGAGAAACCAUUUGCCUGUGCAGAAUGUGGUCAAAGAUUCUCCGAAAAAGGAAGCUUAAAAACACACACAAGAACACACACUGGAGAAAAAGCUUUUCCCUACGGAAGCGUAUUGCAUUCACUUGGAUAAAAAAAAAAAAAAAACUCCUGUUUUUCUGAGUAAUUUAAAUAGUCUGAAAAAAAAUUAGUCCGAAAAACAGAAAAAAAUAGUCAGAAAAAAUUACUCAGAAAAACAGGAGUUGUUUUUCUGUAGUACGGAAGCGUAUUGCAUUCACUUGGAUAAAAAAAAAAAACAACUCCUGUUUUUCUGAGUAAUUAUUUGGAGGGCUUUGUUUUUCUGUCUAUUUUUUUCCUGUUUUUGGGACUAAUUUUUUUUCCGCCUGUUUUUCUGACAAUUUUUUUCUGUUUUUCGGACUAAUUUUUUUUCCGCCUGUUUUUCUGACUAUUUUUGUUUCUGUUUUUCGGACUAAUUUUUUCCACCUGUUUUUCUAUUUUUUUCUGUUUUUCGGACUAAUUUUUUUUACACCUGUUUUUCUGACUAUUUUUUUUCUGUUUUUCGGACAAAUUUUUUUUUACACCUGUUUUUCUGACUAUUUUUUUUCUGAGUUAUCGGGACACAUGAACUCACGCGAGAACCUGCGAACUGCAAGUGACUCUUUGCGGACUCACUAAUGGCGGAUUACUGCUCGCACACCUUCAACCUGCCCAUACUCGUUUACAUUACCGCUUCAAUUAAGGUAAGUCACAUAAUGAGUAACACACAUUGUAUAAUACUCUUAAUACUUUAGUUUUAGACUGCAUACUAUUCUAAUGUAAGCCAAUAUUUACUAUAUGGUUUUAUGUAGUAAGUAAGUAAUAGACGAAGUCGAACGUCUCCUCGGCAUGAUUUCAGUAAGGUAACAGUUACUAUAUGUUUAGCUGAUGCUGUUCACUGCUCGUCCUUGACUUGACAACAUGCUUUUCAUCAUAACGUUAGUAUACAAUAACAUUACGCUUCCGUAAGUAGAACGAGACAUUCGUUGUAACGUUAGUUUAUAUACUAAGUAUACACUAACACUCCAGAGGCAUAGUAACAGUGUUAAUUGUUUAACAUGGGGCACGUAAGCAUGUAAACAACAAAGAACGUUGCCAGUAGACUUGAAAUACUGUUAACAACAACAACAAAACUGAUAAAAGCCCAUAUUGAUCUGCUGAGUUUAGUCUUUUGCACUAUUAGAGUGCCGUAAUGUUAUUAUUUUUGAAUAACCAGUCAAGGCUUUCAUUACACAAGGACACAACACAAAUCAGUUUUGGUGGUGAUUUGAGUAAGCACAUUAAAAUGUUUGCAAAUGAUUACACAUAUAGAUGAUGCCCUUUUCCUACAUUUUUUCAUUGCCAGCAUUGCAAUGGCUACAUCCUCAACCCCUGGCCUCCCACAAGAUGAUGAUGGUCUGUGGGAAUUUCUACGCAACAGAGGUGUUCAUGAGGAGAGUAUUCAGAAAAUUAAACAAGAUCAUAUUGACAGCUCGAUAAUUGGAGAAAUAGAUGAUGCUGCUAUUGCCUCUUACAUUCCAGCCUAUGGUGAUAGGAUUGCUACAAGGCGUUUCUCAGUGGAAAAACAGAGAAGAGGUGGAGAUGAUACAAAAAGACUUUCCUUAUUCCAAAAACUUAGUAAGAAAAUGGGCACAAUGGGUAACAAAGCCUGUGAUCAUGGUUUUGAGGGAGAGAGAGAGAGAAUACAGUGAAACCAACAAAUGUGUACCUACAAAAUAAUAAGCGAGCCUGGAAGACAACCAGAAAAAUAGAAUUAGGGUGGAUACAUAACAACAAACAAGUCAGAAAACGCAGCGGUGGAGGAACCAGAGUUCUGGAUAUUAACAAGAAUGCCACUAAAACUGAGAUCCUGUCUCAAGCAAAACAACUGUUUUUCCCAAAUGAGAAGUCAACAAUGGGAAAGUGGGAAGAGUUCAGUCAUGACAUCGUUAACUUUCAGGAAGCACAAGUUGAUGAGGACGUAAGUGUGCGGGAGUGUUAUGACACACACAAAUUAGCUUUGUUAAGAUUUAUUUGUUCACAAAGACCCUUGCCGGUGGAGAUGACCAAGAGGAAGGAGCUGACAUACCGACAGAUGAGCAACAUGAAAACUCAACAGAAUGUGGACAAAAGAAACAAACAAUGGAAAAGGUGGAGCAGCUGACGUGGAAAAGACAUAGCAGUGAAAUAAGUCAAAUCCACACAACGGAAGAUGAUGAGCUGAGCACUGCAGCUGUUCAGAUUAUUGAUCUUACGUCUUUGUGUAAUACAUCAGAGGUCAGUUUUGGUCCUUUGACAGGGGGUCCAUUUUUAGGUGAUCUUGAUGAUACACUCUUAAAUGAUCCAAACCUUGCAAUAGAAGACGAACAACUAAACAUCCCCACUUACACCUCAACUCCUAAUGAUGCUGAGACAGCUUUUGGUAGACCACCAAGUCCUUCCUUUGAACUUUUACAUGUGACUGUGAAACUUCACCGAGUAACUCUCUUAGAUGAACUUAUUACCCAAUUCAAGGAUGAAGCAGUGAUGACAAACUCUGUGAAAUACAGCUUCAUCGAUGAAAUGGGGGCAGAUGCUGAUGGUGUGUCUAGGGAUGUAUACGCUCCCUUCUGGACAGAAUUCCUAGACUGUGCAGCAGAAGGUGCAGAUGUGAGGGUGCCAUCGCUCUCCCCGAAAUGGCAAGAGGAAGAAUGGAAAUCUGUUGGCAGGAUAUUGGCCAAGGGACUGAACGACCAUGGGUAUUUUCCAUGUCGGCUGGCACAAGCCUUUACGGCAGCCAUCAUAUUUGGUGAACACUCCGUUUCAUCUGAUUUACUGUUUGACUCCCUGAUGUUGUAUCUUAGUCAAUCUGAGCGUCAUCUUUUGUCCACUGCUUUGCAAGAAGCCGUUAUCGGCGAUGAUGAGGAAGAGUUUCUAAUCUUAUGGAUCGCAUGGGAGUAAGAACAGUACCGACACAAGAUAACUUGAGAGCUGUGCUUAUCCAGGUUGCCCACAAGCAAAUCAUCCAGCAUCCAAAAUAUGCAUUGGAUAAUCUUGCAGAGGUUGCAGGACCAACACUCAGGAAGUUUUUCCCUAAUGUAGAGGAUAUGAAGAAGCUGUUUGAGGACAUUAAACCGACAACAGGAAAGGUGAUUAAAAUGAUAACAGCUUUUCCAGCUACUUCAGCAGAGAACCAAAGUUUGCGAUUUUUACAUCAGUACAUAAGGGGAUUGGAUGAAAUAAGUCUCCGGAAGCUGAUGAGAUUUCUGACCGGGUCGGAUGUUAUCUGUGUAAAAGAAAUUCAAAUCACUUUCACCUCUUUAGAAGGGCUAGCACGGCGGCCAAUUGCCCAUACUUGUGGCCCAACAGUGGAGCUGCCAUCAACUUACAGUAGCUAUCCUGAGCUUGGAGCUGAAAUGGAGGCAAUAUUGUCCAGCAACACUCAUGCAAUGGACAUAGCAUAAGAGUAAGUGACUGAUGUUCACAUACACAUUUUUCUGUUCCCCAUUCAGCCACCUAUGAUUGUUUAGACUGUGAAUGUGGGCUAUAGCAUAUAAGGAGAAUAUUUUGUUAGCUUAGGGUCUGUGUAAGUAAUGCAAGAAACAAUAACUCACACAAGCACAGAUUGAUUGAAAAUGUUCUUUCUACCCUUUCAACAAUUCACUUUUGUUAUCAGUCUAGGAUGGAU